UUAGGUGUUUGAUACCUGGCUCAGGACGAACGCUGGCGGCGUGCCUAAUACAUGCAAGUUGAGCGCUGAAGGUUGGUACUUGUACCGACUGGAUGAGCAGCGAACGGGUGAGUAACGCGUGGGGAAUCUGCCUUUGAGCGGGGGACAACAUUUGGAAACGAAUGCUAAUACCGCAUAAAAACUUUAAACACAAGUUUUAAGUUUGAAAGAUGCAAUUGCAUCACUCAAAGAUGAUCCCGCGUUGUAUUAGCUAGUUGGUGAGGUAAAGGCUCACCAAGGCGAUGAUACAUAGCCGACCUGAGAGGGUGAUCGGCCACAUUGGGACUGAGACACGGCCCAAACUCCUACGGGAGGCAGCAGUAGGGAAUCUUCGGCAAUGGACGAAAGUCUGACCGAGCAACGCCGCGUGAGUGAAGAAGGUUUUCGGAUCGUAAAACUCUGUUGGUAGAGAAGAACGUUGGUGAGAGUGGAAAGCUCAUCAAGUGACGGUAACUACCCAGAAAGGGACGGCUAACUACGUGCCAGCAGCCGCGGUAAUACGUAGGUCCCGAGCGUUGUCCGGAUUUAUUGGGCGUAAAGCGAGCGCAGGUGGUUUAUUAAGUCUGGUGUAAAAGGCAGUGGCUCAACCAUUGUAUGCAUUGGAAACUGGUAGACUUGAGUGCAGAGAGAGAGAUUAGUU
rnacentral:rRNA from 1 species